rnacentral:rRNA from 1 species
GUGAGGAAUAUUGCGCAAUGGAGGCAACUCUGACGCAGCCAUGCCGCGUGCAGGAAGAAGGCGCUACGCGUUGUAAACUGCUUUUAACCGGGAAGAAACCCCAGGACGUGUCCUGGGUUGACGGUACCGGAGGAAUAAGCACCGGCUAACUUCGUGCCAGCAGCCGCGGUAAUACGAAGGGUGCAAGCGUUAUCCGGCUUCAUUGGGGUUAAAGGGUGCGUAGGCGGAGCGUUAAGUCAGUGGUGAAAUCCUGCAGCUUAACUGUAGACUUGCCAUUGGUACUGGCGCUCUUGAGUGCGCUUGAAGUGGGCGGAAUGUGCCGUGUAGCGGUGAAAUGCUUAGAUAUGGCACAGAACACCAAUUGCGAAGGCAGCUCACUAAGGCGAUACUGACGCUGAGGCACGAAAGCGUGGGGAUCGAACAGGAUUAGAAACCCGUGUAGUCC